GAUGAAGAACGGAGUGAAAUGCGAUACUUGGUGUGAAUUGCAGAAUCCUGUGAACCAUCGAGUCUUUGAACGCAAGUUGCGCCCGAAGCCUCGGCUAAGGGCACGUCUGCCUGGGCGUCACGCAUCGCGUCUCCCCCAAACCACCAAGGCGGAGGGGAAGGAAGAUGGCUUCCCGUGCCUCACCCGGCGCGGUUGGCCUAAAUUUGGAGCCCGCGGCACUUAGCUCUCGUGGCGAUAGGUGGUGAACAAGGACUUGGCCGUGCAAACAACCCGCUUCGAAUCUCUAUGUCACGUGCGCUCGUCGGACCCUUUGAAGUUGCCUUCGGUGACUUAAAACCUUUGCGACCCCAGGUCAGGCGGGGCUACCCGCUGAAUUUAAGCAUAUCAAUAAGCGGAGGA
rnacentral:misc_RNA from 1 species